GGCGUGUCGUGUUACCGCAGAACUUCGCCUGUUGCCGUGGUACGCGGAAGUUGCACCUAUUAAGAGCACGACAACCCAUCUCUUUUGCAAGGAAGAAGACAGUUGGGGAUAUUCGGAUUUUAUAUUUAUGGAGGAUUUACUGGAUCCGGCAAACGGCUACGUCGAUCCAAGGGACUUCUCCGUGAAACUGCAAGUUCACCUGACCGCUUAUCUUCCGGCUGAACUGGCAUGAAUGUAACGUGCA